AGACCCGAAACCCGGUGAUCUAGCCAUGGGCAGGUUGAAGGUUGGGUAACACUAACUGGAGGACCGAACCGACUAAUGUUGAAAAAUUAGCGGAUGACCUGUGGCUGGGGGUGAAAGGCCAAUCAAACCGGGAGAUAGCUGGUUCUCCCCGAAAGCUAUUUAGGUAGCGCCUCGUGAAUUCAUCUCCGGGGGUAGAGCACUGUUUCGGCUAGGGGGCCAUCCCGGCUUACCAACCCGAUGCAAACUGCGAAUACCGGAGAAUGUUAUCACGGGAGACACACGGCGGGUGCUAACGUCCGUCGUGAAGAGGGAAACAACCCAGACCGCCAGCUAAGGUCCCAAAGUCAUGGUUAAGUGGGAAACGAUGUGGGAAGGCCCAGACAGCCAGGAUGUUGGCUUAGAAGCAGCCAUCAUUUAAAGAAAGCGUAAUAGCUCACUGGUCGAGUCGGCCUGCGCGGAAGAUGUAACGGGGCUAAACCAUGCACCGAAGCUGCGGCAGCGACACUCAGGUGUUGUUGGGUAGGGGAGCGUUCUGUAAGCCUGCGAAGGUGUGUCGUGAGGCAUGCUGGAGGUAUCAGAAGUGCGAAUGCUGACAUAAGUAACGAUAAAGCGGGUGAAAAGCCCGC
rnacentral:rRNA from 1 species